GGGAUAACAACAAAAUUCAACAAGACAAACAUUCAAAUAUUUCGGAUAAUUUUUUGGCUUUUUUGAAUACAGUAUUUGUACUUAGUUUUAAAUAAGGUUUAAGCAAAAAGUAUUGAGAGAAAGAAUAUAAGAAACUAAUUUUACACAUUUAAUAUUUAAUAUUAAGAACACGUGAAGAAGACGAAAUCGCUUUAUGCUGCUACAACUAGCAAAAAACGUAACCUUAAGACGCCUGACUAUAUAGAAUCUACACUUUUAAUACACACUUUUAACACACACUUUUGACACUUUUCACACAUGUAAGAGCUGGAGUAACUAACGUAACUAAGAAUUGAUGGUUUGAUGACUCAUCACAUAAGAAGACAUGAAACAUAAAUUCGCAGUUAACAUUUUUGGAGACUAAGAUCAAAAUUCAUGGAAAAGCAAAGUACUUUGGCCGAGCAAUGAUAUAAGCUCUCCAUUGAUCAAGUAAUAUGGAGAAACAUGACACCUGUCAUAAUCGGCAUGUAAAUCGGAGCUCAACAACCUCGACCACCUACCAGGCCAUUCUAUUCCAUUGGACAACGUCUUUUCUUUUCGUAUCCUAUUUGUAAAGAAACAAAAAUACACUUUGCGAAGAAGCACACCUCCA